AUUUCUAGAUUGAUGAAUUGAACUCUAGAGUGAAUGAAGCUAGAGGCAAAUUUACAAGACCACAGUUGAAAAAGGUUUCCCGUGCAGAUAAAUUUGCUGGCUCAGUAGGAACAGAAGAUAAAAAGGGUAUUGAUGUUCAGUUGAAGAGAGUUGAGAGAAAAUCAGCAUCUGGCGCAGAUGAUGACAAAGUUGAAAAAGUAGAUCUACGUGCUGGUUUACAGAAAGUUGACAAAUAAACCUCUGUUGAGCGCCACUUUCAUGAUUCACCAAAUUCCUGACAAGUCCACCUAACUUAGUGACCCAGCUUAUGGAAGAUGCAUUUGCAAUUAACCAAUGACAGUUCCUGUAGAUGAUACAAAUUCUACAUACUUAGGGAGUAAACCUAAAACAAUUUGUACACACUUAGGGAGCUCAUAUUAAAGUUAGUUGACAUUUUACAUCCCCUAUUUAAUAUUAUAUAGAAACAAAAAACAGCUUAUUCAAAAUUGUUUUAUUCAUAUUUUUUUUUUUUAGAAUUACAUGCAGGUUGUUACUAGUGUAGAUUUUAAAAUUGAUAAUAAUGGACAAUGUAAUCUGUAUUUCAUAUUUUUAUGAAAGCCAAAGAAGUUGAUCCUGAAUGAAACCCCCUUUGCAGCAGUAGUUUAAAAGCGGGGUCAGAAAUGUAAAAAAAAAACGUAGUCAGCAAUAUAGUUGUAAGUUUCAACAAUUUUUGUAUCUUGCCAGUCGUGGGAAAAAAAACACUUUUUUAUUAUCAUUAUUCCAUCUCAGUUUUCAUUGUCAUGUUCAAUGGUUUUAGAUGAGUGGCCAGAUCAGAUGCUUAUUUUUGUCAUACAAAUAAAUCGCAAUAAACCUGGCAAUAAAAACGAGACUCUUUGUGACUUUUAAUUCUUCAUCAAAGGAGUGUCAGUUUGUACGAGUUGAUAUGUGCAUGUUCAUCUGAAACCAUUGCAUGUUUUUGUUGCACAUUAUUUAACACAUUUUAACAUACUAACUUCUAGAAACCUAGAUAAUAUUGCCAUUAUUGUCUCAAUAUCUUUUUCACCUUCUCUUCUGGAUCUGUUAAUUUUGCAUUGGUAUUAUGUUAGAUUGCCAUUUACUGUUUACAUAGGUAGUACAUAUAGAAUUGUAGAUAACAUUUAGCUUCACCAUAUUGAAAAGGUUAUGUAAGUAGAUGAUUUUUGGCUUUAUUCUAUUGCAAAGAAUCAUUUAUGUAGAUAACAUCUGGCUUUAUGGCAUUGCAAAAGGUUGUAUAGGGAGAUAUUUAGAUUUGUAACAAAAUUAUUUUUUGUACAUUACUAAUAUUAAGUUUUUAUGUAAAUCAAUUGUCGAGCUAUGGCUAUUUUUUUUUAACUUUUAUCAUGACCGAUACACCUAUUAGUAAGACAUCUUAUUGAGUGAGGUUUUAGUAAUAAGAAUUGAGAGUUUGAGAGAACUAAGUGACUGCAAUGAUUCAGUCUCAAAAACUCAAUUCACGGUAUUAGUAUAAUCCCAUAGAUAAUAUAAAGGUACUAUGUAUCCAAAGGAUGACAAAUUGGAGAUGCACCAUGUCCCAGUUUCUUUGCAUGAAGAGAUCUUCAGCAUUGAAGGGCAGAUUAAUGAUCGUCUAAUUAUAUCUGAUCCAAAGCUGUGAAAUAGUGUAAACAAUUGCGCCAAUUUGGCAGUGAAAGAACCGAACAGUGCCUUUAAUGUAUGAUAAUUCAUAUUCAUAAUUUUAUCACCAUGCCAACAAUAAGUAUGUCUGGAUGUACCAUUACAGCUGAUAUUAUUUUCUAUAUAAUUAUUCAUUUUAAAUGCCAAAAUGAAUAAAGAUUUGACAGUAAAACU